UUCAAUAUUGUAGUGUCAUAAUGGAUUUUGUGUGCUACAUGAACAUAGUUAUUUGUGCAUACAUGUAAAACAUAUGUAUGUUGCUUUCUGGUGUGAAGAAUGCAAUAAGCGUCUCAAGUCGGGCAUUAUGUGAGGUUGGAGGCAAAUUCUCCUGGCACAGAUUUGAGAUGUCGAACGUAGCACCCAUGCAGCUUGGGGCAGCCAAUGCCUUCACACAAGUUGAGCAUAUGGCUGCCUUGGAUAUAGAUUCUAAGCCCUUUACCAAGCGACUCUCGGGAAUUAUUUGUACCAUUGGACCAGUAUCUCGAUCAGUUGAAAUGUUGGUACAGAUGAUGGAAGCAGGCAUGAACAUUGCACGAAUGAACUUCUCUCAUGGUACUCAUGAAUAUCAUUCAGAGACCAUGAUGAACGUUCGUAAAGCUGCCGAGAUCUACUCCAAUAAAAUUGGCCAUUCCUACCCUGUAGCAAUUGCACUUGACACUAAGGGACCUGAAAUUCGUACUGGACUGUUAGAGGGUGGAGCUUCAGCUGAGGUAGAAUUAAAGAAAGGAGAUGAAAUUAAACUUACUACCGACAAAGAAUUCUACGAGAAGUGCACAGAGAAGCUUCUUUAUCUUGAUUAUGUGAACAUUACCAAAGUUGUGAAACCUGGUAACAGGAUUUUUGUUGAUGAUGGCCUGAUUUCUCUUAUUGCAAAGGAUAUUGGUGGUGAUUACAUUGUUUGUGAUGUUGAAAAUGGUGGUAUGUUGGGUAGCAAGAAGGGUGUUAACCUCCCCGGUGUUCCAGUAGAUCUUCCUGCAGUUUCAGAGAAAGAUCGUGGAGAUCUUUUACUUGGAGUGAAGAUGCGUGUUGACAUGGUAUUUGCAUCAUUCAUUCGUGAUGCUGCUGGAGUUAGAGAAAUCAGAGAUGUUCUUGGUGAACAGGGCAAGAACAUCAAGAUCAUUAGCAAGAUUGAAAAUCACCAGGGCUGCAAGAACAUUGAUUCCAUUAUUGAGGAAGGAGAUGGUAUCAUGAUUGCUCGUGGUGAUUUGGGCAUUGAAAUUCCCGCUGAAAAAGUUUUUAUCGCCCAGAAGCAGAUGCUUGCAAAAUGCAAUAAGGUUGGGAAGCCAGUCAUUUGUGCUACACAGAUGUUGGAGUCUAUGGUAAAGAAACCCAGACCAACCCGUGCUGAGGUUUCUGAUGUAGGUAAUGCCAUUCUUGAUGGAGCUGACUGUGUUAUGCUGUCUGGAGAGACUGCCAAGGGCGACUAUCCUCUCGUUUGUGUGCGAACAAUGGCAAAUAUUGCACGAGAAGCAGAGUCUGCUUUGUGGCAUAAACAGCUGUUUACAGAGCUGUCACAGACUGUCCCCAUGCCUAUUGAUUCCACUCAUACCACUGCUAUUGCAUCAGUUGAAGCCUCUUUCAAGGCAAUGGCAUCUGCUAUCAUAGUUUUAACCACCACUGGCCGUUCAGCCCAUCUCGUUUCCAAAUACAGACCACGUUGUCCCAUUAUUGCUGUCACACGUUUCCCAAAUGUCGCCCGUCAAUGUCAUCUUUACCGUGGUAUUAUACCAAUCCACUACACAGUUCCUCAAAAUGCUGAACGCGUCGAAGACUGGAUGGAUGAUGUAAAUGCUCGUGUAGACUAUGCUGUCGAGUAUGGUAAGCAGAUUGGCUUCAUCAAGUCAGGAGAUCCAGUUGUGGUUGUCACUGGAUGGCAGAAGGGUGCUGGAUUUACCAACACCAUGCGCGUCUUUCAUAUAUGAAAGUGCAUGCAGGCCCUUCCAUCCUAAAAUGGUAUGCUGUGUUUUCAUCGAUCAAAGACCUGCCAAAUGAGACAAGAGUUGGGAAAUCAAUAGCUUUAAAUUCUGAUCGAACAAAAGAAAUAUUAGCUUAUCUACUGCAAAAUAAAAUACUAUAAAAAUGAA